CAGUUCUGGAAGCCAGGAAGUUCAAGAUCAAGAUGCCAAAACGUUUGAUUUCUGGUGAAGGCUCACUUCCUGAUUUGUAGACAACUGUCUUCUCACUGUAUUCUCACAUGGCAUAGAAAGCUGAGAGCUCUGGUCUCUUCCUGUUUUCAGAAGGACUCUAAUUUCAUCACAGCAGCUUUAUCCUCAUGGCUUUAUCUAUGCCUAAUAACCUCCAAAAACCCCUCCUGCAAAUACCAACACAUCAAGGGUUAGGACUUCAACAUACACAUGUUGACCAGAGAAACAAACAUUUAGCCUAUAACAAUGAUUUGGAUUUAUUUAUGGAGAAGGAAGCUAUAGAAGAAUAACUAAAAUGCAUAAAGGCAAAUUGAAUGUUCAAAGGGUAAGCAUGGGUCUGAUUGUUAAUAUCACUAUUAGCUCAGCUACAAAUGAGCAUCUGGAGCAAUAGCAUCUCUCUAGGUUUGAAGAGGUGAGCGGCGGUGCCUCAGCGAUCUCCUCUGCAGCAUAGGAAAUGAUGGCUGUUUCUUUCCGCUGGAAGCAUGGCCACGAAAGCCCUCCUCUGAAAGUGCUCUUGCUGUACUGACUUUGCUUGUCAACAAUGUGGCACUCCUCACUUAACAGACACUCCCUACAUCAGUAUUGGGUGUCCUCUGAAGGAAAACUGAAUCUUCCCCACCUCACUUUCCUCUUUAUGCCAUAACUGAGUUCCGGAAUGUGAAAGCCUACACUGCUGGAUCUGCUGUGUGGACUUGACCCUGACCAGGGAGCUCCAAAAACCGGUGAUGAUAACAUGAUGUAAUUGAGAGUGAAAGGAAGGCAACUGAGAGGAUAAGAGAACGUAAACAAGAGAAAAUCCUACUAAUUUUACAUGGCUAACAGAACUUUUAAAACAUGAACAUCUAAUACAUAUGAAUAAUUGCAUUAUAAAAUACUCAAGAAAGUCAUUAGAGUAACAGACUUUGCUUUUUAUAAAUCAUGUUUAAUCAAUAUUUUUAUUUCCCUCUUUUCAAUUUCUAUGUGUAAUAAAUCUAUUGUAAUUACUCACCUUCACUUAUUUAUCACACUAGUUGUUAUAGAUUUUGCUUCUCCAAAGGAGCAAAGCUCCAAUUUGCUACCAAAUUGGCAAAGCUGUCUGGUGGAACAAUCUGUUCACAAGAAGAGUGAGACCUGAUACCACAGCAACGCUGCCAGAAGUUCAUGAUUUUAACUUUGACGGUUUUCUGUCUUCUGUCUGUCUUUCUGAGAAAAGUAUAUUGUUUUGGCCGGGCGUGGUGGCUCACGCCUAUAAUCCCAGCACUUUGGGAGGCCGAGGCAGGCAGAUCAGGAGGUCAGGAGAUCGAGACCAUCCUGGCUAACACGGUGAAACCCCGUCUCUACUAAAAAUACAAAAAAUUACCCGAGCGUGGUGGCGGGUCCUGUAGUCCCAGCUACUCGGGAGGCUGAAGCAGGAGAAUGCUGUGAACCCAGGAGGCGGAGCUUGCAGUGAGCAGAGAUUGCGCUACUGCACUCCAGCCUGGGUGACAGAGCGAGAUUCUGCCUCAAACAAACAAACAAACAAACAAAAAACAAAAACAAAAACAAAAAAAAAGUGUAUUGUUUUACUGUUUUCUGAAGCUUAAAAAAUGACAAGUUAUAUAUUUAUUAUUAUACCUGACUGUUCUGAUCUGAAAACUGAAAUCCCCCACCUUGGCUGAAGAAUAAAAAGGAAAUGCAAAGUACUAAACCCACUGGUUUUAGACCCAUAUGUUUAUAUGGGUUCCCAAUCAACCAUAUAUUCAUUAAAACUGCCUUUCUUAAAAUAAAUAUUCUUCCCCCUUUUUCUAUAAAACGU
rnacentral:lncRNA from 10 species